AUUGAACGCUGGCGGCAUGCUUUACACAUGCAAGUCGAACGGUAACAGGUCUUCGGAUGCUGACGAGUGGCGAACGGGUGAGUAAUACAUCGGAACGUGCCUAGUAGUGGGGGAUAACUACUCGAAAGAGUAGCUAAUACCGCAUGAGAUCUACGGAUGAAAGCAGGGGACCUUCGGGCCUUGUGCUACUAGAGCGGCUGAUGGCAGAUUAGGUAGUUGGUGGGGUAAAGGCUUACCAAGCCUGCGAUCUGUAGCUGGUCUGAGAGGACGACCAGCCACACUGGGACUGAGACACGGCCCAGACUCCUACGGGAGGCAGCAGUGGGGAAUUUUGGACAAUGGGCGAAAGCCUGAUCCAGCAAUGCCGCGUGCAGGAUGAAGGCCCUCGGGUUGUAAACUGCUUUUGUACGGAACGAAAAGCCUGGGGCUAAUAUCCCCGGGUCAUGACGGUACCGUAAGAAUAGGCACCGGCUAACUACGUG
rnacentral:rRNA from 1 species